rnacentral:rRNA from 1 species
AUUGAACGCUGGCGGCAGGCCUAACACAUGCAAGUCGAGCGGGGUUUUCGGACCUAGCGGCGGACGGGUGAGUAAUGCGUAGGAAGCUACCCGAUAGAGGGGGAUACCAGUUGGAAACGACUGUUAAUACCGCAUAAUGUCUACGGACCAAAGUGUGGGACCUUCGGGCCACAUGCUAUCGGAUACGCCUACGUGGGAUUAGCUAGUUGGUGAGGUAAUGGCUCACCAAGGCGACGAUCCCUAGCUGGUUUGAGAGGAUGAUCAGCCACACUGGAACUGAGACACGGUCCAGACUCCUACGGGAGGCAGCAGUGGGGAAUAUUGGACAAUGGGCGCAAGCCUGAUCCAGCCAUGCCGCGUGUGUGAAGAAGGCCUUCGGGUUGUAAAGCACUUUCAGUAGGGAGGAAGCGUUGUGUGUUAAUAGUACACAGCGUUGACGUUACCUACAGAAGAAGCACCGGCUAACUCUGUGCCAGCAGCCGCAGUAACAC